UACAGAGGGGGCAAGCGUUAUUCGGAAUUAUUGGGCGUAAAGGGCGCGUAGGCGGUUCUUCAAGUCUCUCGUGAAAUCCCUCGGCUUAACUGAGGACGUGCGGGAGAUACUGAAGGGCUUGAGUCCGGAAGAGGGUGGUGGAAUUCCCAGUGUAGCGGUGAAAUGCGUAGAUAUUGGGAGGAACACCGGGUGGCGAAGGCGGCCACCUGGGCCGGAACUGACGCUGAGGCGCGAAAGUGUGGGGAGCGAACAGG
rnacentral:rRNA from 1 species